UUGGGGGAAUGCAUGGUUGCCACAUACUUGUAUGAGUAUGAGGGCAGCAAUAGCUUAUUGGGUUUUACUUUCUAGGCUAUAUUAUUUUUACCCUUACACUAUGCCCGUCUAGUGGGUUUAUCCACAUUAAAAAUUGUGUAUUGAAUAGUAAUUAUAAUGCCGGCUCCGUUCUGGUUAAAAUUCUGGAUAGGGGACUGAUUAUGACAAUUUUCUAUCUAUAUGUCUUGACCAAAUUACGUGCCAGCCGUCGCGGUAAUACGUAAAAGACUAGUGUUAUUCGUCUUGAAUAGGUUUAAAGGGUACCUAGACGGCAUUAAUAACCUUGAACAAGGAGAUGUUUUAUGCUAGAGUUUUAUAUGAGAAGGGGAGAAUUUAUAGAGUAGAGAUAAAAUGCUGUCAUACUAUAAGGACUGGCAAUGGCGAAAGCGACCUUUUAUCUAAAAACUGACGUUGAGGGACGGAGGCUUGGGGAGCGAAAAGGAUUAGAUACCCUAGUAGUCCAUGCAGAGAAUGAUGAAUGCCAUAGACUAGAUAUUCUUUUGGUUUAUAAAUGAAAGUGUAAGCAUUCCACCUCAUGAGUAAUGUGGCAACGCAGGAACUGAAAUCAUUAGACCGUUUCUGAGAACAGUAGUGAAGUAUGUUAUUUAAUUCGAUGACCCACGAAAAACCUUACCACAACUUGAAUGUAUCAAUCGCUGGCAGAAAAAAGUAAUAAUCUACGUUAUGUAGGUUACAAAAACAAUAAUCUAUGUUAUAUAGGUUAAAUGAGGAAGUAAGGCGCAAAAGUUGUUAAAGUAGAUGUAGAAAACAUGUAAAUGUAGAAAACAUGUGCUUUAACAUGUAAAUUGUCGGGGAAAAAAUCUGGACAGUUUGCGACUUGGUAUACAAGCGUUGCACGGUUGUCUUUAGUUAAUGUCGUGAGAUUUUGGUUAGCUCCAUAAAAUUAGCGUAAACCCCGACUUUAUUUUAAAAAGAACGUUAUAAUAAAAAGUAAUAAAAGAGAAAAAUUCUAAUAAAAAAUUUAUAAUUAUAAUUAUAUCGAUAAAGUAGUUCAUCACUAUAUUGAAAAUAUGAUAA
rnacentral:rRNA from 1 species